CGCCGAAAACAAUGAGUGCUAGCUGUUGGGUGAUUUACCAUUCAAUGGCUCAGCUAACGCAUUAAACACUCCGCCUGGGGAGUACGGUCGCAAGAUUAAAACUCAAAAGAAUUGACGGGGGCCCGCACAAGCGGUGGAGCAUGUGGUUUAAUUCCAUGCAACGCGCAAAACCUUACCAGCCCUUGACAUGUACAGGACGAUAUCAGAGAUGGUAUUUUCUUUUCGGAAACCUUUACACAGGUGCUGCAUGGCUGUCGUCAGCUCGUGUCGUGAGAUGUUGGGUUAAGUCCCGCAACAAGCGCAACCCCUGCCUCUAGUUGCCAUCAAGUUUAGGUUUUUACCUAGAUGUUGGGUACUUUAUAGGGACUGCCGGUGAUAAGCCGGAGGAACGUGGGGAUGACGUCAAGUCCUCAUGGCCCUUAUGGGCUGGGCUACACACGUGCUACACUGGUGGUUACGAUGGGUUGCCAAUUCACGAGGCGGAGCUAAUCCCAAAAAGCCAUCUCAGUUCACGAUUGCACUCUGGAACUCGAGUGCAUGAACUCGGAAU
rnacentral:rRNA from 1 species